GACGAACGCUGGCGGCGUGCUUAACACAUGCAAGUCGAACGGAAAGGCCUCAGCUUGCUGGGGUACUCGAGUGGCGAACGGGUGAGUAACACGUGGGUGAUCUGCCUUGCACUCUGGGAUAAGCUUGGGAAACUGGGUCUAAUACCGGAUAUGAACUGCCUUUAGUGUGGUGGUUGGAAAGUUUUUUCGGUGCAAGAUGAGCUCGCGGCCUAUCAGCUUGUUGGUGGGGUAAUGGCCUACCAAGGCGUCGACGGGUAGCCGGCCUGAGGGGGUGUACGGCCACAUUGGGACUGAGAUACGGCCCAGACUCCUACGGGAGGCAGCAGUGGGGAAUAUUGCACAAUGGGCGGAAGCCUGAUGCAGCGACGCCGCGUGGGGGAUGACGGCCUUCGGGUUGUAAACUCCUUUCGACAGGGACGAAGCUUUUUGUGACGGUACCUGUAGAAGAAGCACCGGCUAACUACGUG
rnacentral:rRNA from 1 species